UACGAAGGGGGCUAGCGUUGCUCGGAAUCACUGGGCGUAAAGCGCACGUAGGCGGAUCUUUAAGUCAGGGGUGAAAUCCUGGAGCUCAACUCCAGAACUGCCUUUGAUACUGGGGAUCUCGAGUCCGGGAGAGGUGAGUGGAACUCCGAGUGUAGAGGUGAAAUUCGUAGAUAUUCGGAGGAACACCAGUGGCGAAGGCGGCUCACUGGUCCGGUACUGACGCUGAGGUGCGAAAGCGUGGGGAGCAAACAGG
rnacentral:rRNA from 1 species